rnacentral:rRNA from 1 species
GCUUGCUGGGUGGAUCAGUGGCGAACGGGUGAGUAACACGUGAGCAACCUGCCCCGGACUCUGGGAUAAGCGCUGGAAACGGCGUCUAAUACUGGAUACGAGUAGCGGCCGCAUGGCCAGCUGCUGGAAAGAUUUUUUGGUCUGGGAUGGGCUCGCGGCCUAUCAGCUAGUUGGUGAGGUAAUGGCUCACCAAGGCGUCGACGGGUAGCCGGCCUGAGAGGGUGACCGGCCACACUGGGACUGAGACACGGCCCAGACUCCUACGGGAGGCAGCAGUGGGGAAUAUUGCACAAUGGGCGCAAGCCUGAUGCAGCAACGCCGCGUGAGGGAUGACGGCCUUCGGGUUGUAAACCUCUUUUAGCAAGGAAGAAGCGAAAGUGACGGUACUUGCAGAAAAAGCGCCGGCUAACUACGUGCCAGCAGCCGCGGUAAUACGUAGGGCGCAAGCGUUAUCCGGAAUUAUUGGGCGUAAAGAGCUCGUAGGCGGUUUGUCGCGUCUGCUGUGAAAACCCGAGGCUCAACCUCGGGCCUGCAGUGGGUACGGGCAGACUAGAGUGCGGUAGGGGAGAUUGGAAUUCCUGGUGUAGCGGUGGAAUGCGCAGAUAUCAGGAGGAACACCGAUGGCGAAGGCAGAUCUCUGGGCCGUAACUGACGCUGAGGAGCGAAAGGGUGGGGAGCAAACAGGCUUAGAUACCCUGGUAGUCCACCCCGUAAACGUUGGGAACUAGUU